rnacentral:misc_RNA from 1 species
GUAGCGGCCACAAGGACUGUGACGAGAAUGGCACGUGGUUCACUCAUCCCGACACCAACAACUUCUGGUCCAACUACACAACCUGCAUUGACGUCUCCAACCUCGAGCUUCAUCAGGGAGUCAACACUAUCUACAUCGCCGGGUAUUCCAUGUCCCUCGUUGCUCUUUGUAUCUCCCUCUUCAUCUUCUUCUUCUUCAAAUCCCUGAAGUGCACUCGUGUGACCAUUCAUAAGAACCUGUUUGUAAGCUUCAUUAUCAACAACGCCAUGUGGUUAGUUUGGUUCGAGUGUGUGGUUGGGAGGGUUGACGUCGUCUUCAGCAACACGGUUGGGUGUCAGGUGCUGCACGUUUUCCUCCACUAUUUCCUAGUCUCCAACUAUUUCUGGAUGUUCUGCGAGGGCCUCUACCUGCACACCCUGCUCGUCGUUGCCUUCGUCGCCGAGGACAGGAUUAUGAAGUGGUUCUACAUGCUGGGCUGGGGUGCCCCGGCCGUCUUCACCAUUAUCUACGGAGCAUGUAGAGGCACCGACGAUGAACAGAGUGUUUACUGUUGGAUGGAAGACGGGAACUACAACUACAUCCUGAACGUACCUGUGGUGUUGUCUAUGCUCCUCAAUCUCUUCUUCCUCGUCAACAUCGUCAGGGUUCUCGUCACCAAACUGCGAGCCGUCAACACCGCCCCUGAUACGCACUCCACCCGCAAGGCGGUCCGCGCGACACUUAUCCUCAUUCCGCUGCUGGGCCUUCACUACAUCCUCAUCCCCUUCAGGCCCCCCAAGGGUUCACCAGCCGAGGGCUUCUACCUCGUCGUCUCCGCCAUCGCCGCCUCCCUCCAGGGUCUGGGUGUUUCGCUGCUCUUCUGCUUCUUCAAUGGAGAGGUUCUUGGUAUCUUCAAGAAAAAGUGGAGUCAGCACAAACUGAUGCGCGGAGGAUCUCACCCUUACGUUGGCACCACUUUCUCGUACAUGAAAUCGAGUAUGGCUGAUGGGAACACGACAGUCACCAACUACGGCACAACCAUUGAAGGGGACGACGUGUAGACGGGGACCUCAGGUAUACGUGGACCAGAUCACGACGAGUCAAGACAGUCAAGACACCAAACACGUGUUGCCAGAAGGGAUAUAUCGAUGAACAAAAAUUAGGAUUGAAAUAUCGUAAUGCGUAUUUUAAUCCAAAAGGGAUUUUCUCAAUGAAGUGAAAUCACCAAAAUCUUAAUUAUUAUUUUUCCCUUUAGCAUAAUUUCGCACAAAAAUGCCUCAAUGUUUAUCAGGCCAAAAUGGGAGUAUUUUCCUUAGAUAUAAAUCAGUGCAAAGACUUUUCAAAUUUCAUCGAACCAAAGGCUCUGCCAUUAACCUAAGUUGAGAUAUCUGAUUGUUUAUUAAUACAAAAAGAUUUUUCCCUCUGACAUACAGUAUAUACACCCUAACUAGUAUCACUGUUUAUUGAUUCAAAGGGAAUUUUAAUCUUUAAUAUCAACAAACUCCGAAAUAUUUCAACGUUUAUCAUUCUAAUUGGGAUUAUAUCCACGGGGGAAUGUUGACCACUCAAUGAUAUUUUCAAUCCCAAAGUCGGUAAACUUGCAUAAGAAACUGAAAAUUACUGAAAACUAGAAUACCGUUAAUGUAAUUACGUUAAAUUCCUGCAGUGUGUCGGGGAGGUCUCACUGUAAGCUUUUGUGUAUAAAACCACGUGUCCUCUCUACCAUUUCCGUGUUGUCUGUGGAAGUCAGGAUCCACCGAACUGCCAUCAUCCACACUUAUAGUGGGAAAUUAGUUUCACUUUGUAUAUAUAUUUCCUAUCCUGUCAUCAACACCUGCAAGUUUAUUUAAUUGUAUCUCUCCAUUUAUCUGUCUCUCUGUGUCUAUUUCUCUUUCUGUCGUUUCUCUGUUCAUCGUUAUAUGUCUUUACAUAUCUGCUGAUCUAGUAAUCUCUCUUCACCUGUUUAUACACCUGCAACUCUAGUUCUCUACCUAAUCAUCUCUCUAUUUACCCACUCUGUUAAUUACUUAUCUAUAUGCACAUAGAGAGAUAGAAACAUAAAUAGACAGAUCAUUUAGAGUAGAAAUGGAGAUACCAAUAACAGUAUACAUAUGCGUAAAACCUGCGCUACAGCAGCAGAUACGAGAGCCAACUAAUCACAAGGAGACGAGAUAGAGGGUGAUAGGGGACAAGAGCCUCGACACGCACACACAUUCCCAGCCUCGUUAUUUCCCGCGGGGCGAAUGUAACUCGUCUACAACAAUGUUCCGUAGAACGUGGAGAACAAAGCAAAAUUUUGAUGUUAAUGUUUUUUUUCAUCGAUAAAAUAAUAAGUAAUAAUAAGAAUGAAGGGGGAGAGAGACGAUUAUUCUUUGGCUGAGGAUGCGAUGGUAAAUUUUCAAAGUAAAUGAUAGAAAAAACAAAGAAUUCACCGAGGUGAUAUGGCAAGAUAGAGCUUUAAAAAUACAUGAAUGACACAAAAAUAGAUAUUAAUGAACGUACUUUAGGAUGGUACAUGUGGGUUAAUCUAACUACUGAAUUAAUUUUCAGUUCCUUACCGUUCACCAGAUACUAUAAUACACCACCUCGACGUUACCAUAGGUCUAUAAUACACCACCUCGACGUUACCAUAGGUCUAUAAUACACCACCUCGACGUUACCAUAGGUCUAUAAUACACCACCUCGACGUUACCAUAGGUCUAUAAUACACCACCUCGACGUUACCAUAGGUCUAUGUAGACAUACCGUGUCUUAACAAAUUCUUCGUCACAAGGAUGGGGUUAUGUAUGCCUCGAUUACUUUCGAUGUUUAACGAGCGUAGGGAGGAUAUUUAGAUGAUGUUUAUUACUGGUGGAUGAACUAAUGACUUCAAAUGUCUGAAGAUAGCAGGAAUUUUGUCGAGUUUGUUAUCUCUGGCUAUCCUACGUGACCAAAGAUGAACCUUUCGUCUGGGUUUCCUCGGCUGGCCUCUGUUGUGUACUUACCAACCAUCAUCUGCGUCUAUCUGUUUGUAGUUUGUUAACUUUUUGGCACAGAUAUAUAUCCCAUCAUAUCAUAUCAUGACAUAAGAGAGGUACUUUUUGGUCUUCAUUUUAACUGGUAGGCGUAUUGUACAGUCGACCGAUGCCUCCGUUACUGUUUCUACUAUAACAAGUCGUUGGGAGACUCGGUCAAGACCAAACCUUUGGUAAGAACAGCUAGCUAGUGUGUUUAAGCCCAAGACAACAAAAAUAGCAUCGACGGUGUUGACUGAGUCUCCCUUACAACGACAGGUAUUGUUCUCACCGUCGGUAUAAUAAUGUUCUUACUCAUUAUGGUGACGCCACAUCACCUGGGAGGCUCUAGAGCUUUGUAGCGUGUAUCAUGCGUAUCUUAGAACUGCUUAUCAUUUAAACUUGAAUAUUGCAAUUAAAGUUUAUGAAUCAAUUCUUUUUCAUAAAUACGCCUCUACACUGCGAGCCCAGUGACGCCACUGAUGGAAGUUCAGCACACAGAACACAUGCAACUCACAGUCUCUGGAAAUAACUCUCUAAAUAUCAUUUGCUAAUGGAUUUAAGCCGUGAGUUAUUUAUUACCAACGCACAUUAAUAACUAAAUCAUAUAUUCCAGAUUUGUGGAGUGACUACAGGUCACUCAUAAUUGUAAGGCAGUGUUGGUAGAUAACUGGCGAAAGUUCGGCUGAUAUAACUUAGUUAAACGUGUCAUAACAGAGUGGAUAGGGACGCCUGGCGCUAGUUCUUAGGCGAUACGAUCCUUAGAGGCGCAAUUGGACUCCACAUACAGUAACAGACUCUCUCAGUCCUUGAAGAGGAGAUUUAAAUUAAAGCAUAGGGAUUUUUUUCUGGGACUCAGACUAACAAGACCAAUCCCCUCAUCCCACUGACUAUACACCUUGGAGACGAUGGACAGUGUGACAGGGGAUUACACUUGCGUGAGAAAAUAUUAUCGAGUUUGUUCAGUAAUGGCACUCUGACCCAUAACAUGGGUCCUACUUGGUGCCCGUAGACUAAGGUGUAGUAAGACUUGAUGUCACUAGCCAAUCCGUAAUAAAUUUUAUGUGAAUUUUAGGUGUACGGAUAAAUAGUAUUACUGUGAAUGAAAUAUAAAGCAUAUAUGAACGUCUUUUAGUAUAUUUGCCAAAACAAGUAUAUAACACGAUAUUUAACCGUAAUCCUCAUGACUACUUCUCCACAUCUACUACCACAAUAUUAUCAACAAAACAAAAGCAUUUAAUCUGCCAGAUACAUGAUAUUUUUGUACACUAAAUCUAUUCUUGACUUAGAUGUAGGAAAAAAAGUAGAGCUAAAUUCUUAAUAUACCUCGGGCAAUUGAUGUAGAGAAACCAAUAGUUGCUUUUAUAAACAUUAUUUUUCUAUGUGUAAAUACAAGUCAAAUGUAUAGACUGUAAACUCUGCCCUAAGAGACAGUUAUUUUUCUCUUUCCUGUUUCUUCCAGUAGCAUGUAUGUGCAUCCAUCGCCUUCACAACCAUUGUCAUUUCAAAAAAUUCAUCAAAGACAGUGCAAUAUGUACGAGUAACUCUCACUUUAGCUUCCUCUCGUAGGGGGUAAACCUGCAUUAUGUAGGCCAGUUGAUGAAGGAGGAUAACCUCUUCGUUACAGGAUAUUCUGUCGCUGUGGGGUAACUCAAGGGACCCCUUAGUGAGAGGAGGAAGACGCCCCCCUUCGUUGCAGGAUAUUCUAGGUUGCUAAAUCAUCAUUUUUCUCCUACUAUCCCUAUAUGACCUUGACAACUAGGUUCCCAAUAUCAUAUUCAUCUGUAAAAAAUAAACUGAAUUAUCAAAACAAAUAGUAUAAGGUUAAUUUUAGGGCCAUAGUCUAACGGUAUAUCAUUAUUAUGUUGUUGUAGAAUCGUGUCAUGUACCCGCACAUGUAUCUGAGUGUAUUCAUGCAAGACUUGUGAAAUUUGGAUGUGUGUGUUUACAUCUGUCUUGCUACGGUUCUUGCUAACAAAGGUAAAUCCCCUUAUUCAGUGAUGGAUGAAGUCGUUAAAGGGAUUCAUGUGUGUGUGUGGUUUAUAUCUUAUUUACGAUUCUUUUUUUUACUUCAUUUAGAAUAAAAUGAUGAAUUUAUGUUGAUGAAUCCCCAAGUUGUGUAAUUUGUGUGGCAAGUAUUGAUAAGUUAGGUUAUUACUAACAGAGGAAUUUACUAAGAAUGGGAAGAUGGUCGACGCCCAGUACAAAUAAUGGAAUACAUAUAGUAAACAAGAGGCGAUGAGAAAUUCCUUCCCUCUCGACUGUGUUCUUGUCUUAAAAUAUUUCAUUGCUUUCUUCAUAUACUCUAAUAGGAAUCUUAUCCUUCCUCUAUAAGAAAGAUGUUUAGAGUAGAUUCUCACCCGGUUAACUAUAUAGUGACGUUAGUGAAGAUGAUGCCACUAAUAUAGGCUAAGAUACAUACUAAACUGAGCAUGAAAUCAACAGGUUACAGAUCUGAUUAAUUCCGAGGAACAAGGUGCAAUGAAACCCAGAAGGGAAGACUUCAGAGUGACACUGAUGUAUCACUUUUUAUUACAGGUGAUAUUUACCUAGAACUAAUAUUAUUGACAGUUCAACCAAUGUAUGGUAGAAUGUUAGUCACUUAAAGGAAUUUUCAUAGGGCCCAGCGAUCAAUUUAUUAUUCCAAGAGAAGAAUCGCUCCUAAUAGGUAAAAUUAUUGGUUUUCAAGAAUCAGAAUUAAUCAUUGCUAUUUUUCCACUGUGUUCUUUCGUUGUUUGUUCACUUAUGAGUUCUCACAUCAGCAUCUGGUUCUUCCUUACCACGGAGCUUCGUAUGAUAAUCUCCCUGGUGCUUUCUUUUUUCCUCCUGUUCUACUUUGUGACAUUAAUGUGUUAUGGCAUUUAAUUGUAUGUGUUACAAAUAUGAAUGUAUGGUGGA